rnacentral:lncRNA from 12 species
UUACCCCAAUAACCCUUUAAUUCCCCAAUAAAAACCUCACUAACCCUUUUAUUUCCCCCCAAAAACCCCCUCAUUAACCCUCUAGUUUCCCCAUUAACCCUUUCUUUCCCCCCGUUAACCCCUCGCUGCCCAGGCUGGGCGAGCUCCGGGCCGCCAAGGAGCAGCUGGAGGCGCGGCUGGGCCAGCUGGAGGAGCACCCCCCCCCCCCCCCCCCCCCCCCCCCCCCCCCCCCCCCCCCCCCCCCCCCCCCCCCCCCCCCCCCCCCCCCCCCCCCCCCCCCCCCCCCCCCCCCCCCCCCCCCCCUGCUGGCCACGAGCCACGGGCCCAAAGGUGACCCCAAAAGUGACCCCGACGCUCAGGAGCUCUACCAGGAUCUGCAGGACCUGCAGGCGCAGCUGGAGGCGGCGGUGGCCGCGCGCCGGCGGCUGGAGCGCGAGCUGGCCCCCCCCCCCCCCCCCCCCUUUUUCCCAUUUUUCCCAUUUCCCAGGAUCUGCUGGCCCAGCUGGAUGCGCUGGACGUGGCGGGGGCCGCACCCCCCCCCCCCCCCCCCCCCCCCCCCCCCCCCCCCCCCCCCCCCCCCCCC